UACGUAGGGGGCAAGCGUUGUCCGGAAUCAUUGGGCGUAAAGAGCGUGUAGGCGGCCAGAUAAGUCCGCUGUGAAAUCUCGAGGCUCAACUUCGAGCUGUCGGUGGAAACUGUCUGGCUAGAGUCCGGAAGAGGAGAAUGGAAUUCCCGGUGUAGCGGUGAAAUGCGCAGAUAUCGGGAAGAACACCCGUGGCGAAGGCGGUUCUCUGGGACGGUACUGACGCUGAGGAGCGAAAGCGUGGGGAGCGAACAGG
rnacentral:rRNA from 1 species